AAUCAACGCUGGCGGCGUGCCUAAACACAUGCAAGUCGAACGGCGAAACGGGGCUUCGGCCCUGAGUAGAGUGGCGUCCGGGUGAGUAACGCGUGGGUAAUCGUACCCUCGGGUGGGGAAUAAACCAAUCGAAAGAUUGGCUAAUACCGCAUAAUGCAGCGGCUCGACAUCGUAGACAGUUGUUAAAGCAGCAAUGCGCCAGAGGAGGAGCCUGCGUCUGAUUAGC
rnacentral:rRNA from 1 species